UAGAAAGGAAAUCUUUUAAAAACAUAUUUUAGAGUGUUUUAUUGUGGAAAUGUCCUCAAACAUUUUCAUCCCAUUUUCCCAGAGAAGCCUGACAGCCCAGGGAGCAGGGGCGGGGCUGGGGUGGGGAAGAACAAAACGCAGCGGCCACACCCUUGAACUCUUUUGUGUGUUCAGAACAAUGUCUAGUUAAAAUAAAACAAUAUUGCCGCUAAGCACGCCUAAAAUAGUCCUCGGUGAGUGCUCCUGCCCCAUGGCAGGGUCCCUGCGGAGGGCGGUGCGCGGGGGCCGAGGGCCCGGGCCUGAGCUCGGCCCGGCCGGCAGCGGGGCGCACGGAGGCUGGGUGCCCCGCAGCCCGGGCACAGCUGGCACGGCCGGCUGCCCGGGCCCUCACGCCCAUCCCGCCGCCGGCCCUGCACCCGGGCGGAAAGCAAAAGCCCGGGCCAGGCCCGGGGGGCGGGUGAAGCUCAUAAAGCAGAAGUCACGAAGUCUGGAGCUCCGGCCAGAUUUCCUGGGAAGUCUGAGUCCACUACUCCUGACGUGCACCUUCACUUCAGAGGUAACAGCCGGCUGCAGGGAGCCCAGGACGGAGCUGCCCUGUGGAUUACCUCACCCAGCUCAAACACACCGCUCCUCUCCAGGUGGGGUUCUGUACUUCCAGAACUGACCUUCUUCUCUGCUUUUUCUUAAGAUGAAAAGUCAGGGGGCUGGGGAUUUAGCUCAGCGGCAAAGCGCCUGCCUGGCAAGCGCAAGCGUCUGAGUUCGGUUCACGGUACAGGAGCAAAACCAAAACCAAAAAAAAAAAAAAAAAAAAAAAGAUGAAAAGUCAGUAUUUGUAAUCUUUCUGUCGGCCCACACAAGGUCUGUGAGCAGCAGCUCUGCACCUGGCGGGGCAGUGCCCCUCGGCCACUUCUGGUGAGUUGGACGCUGGGGCAGGUUUUUGGGGAAAACUUUCUUUUCUCUUUUCUUUCAUUUCCUUCCCUUUCUUUUCUUUAUUUUAAUGUAAAUACUAAUAAAGAACAUAUGAAAAAGUCCUCUUCUUACUUUUAUGAAACAAUAAAAAUUUUCAUAACAAAAUAGAGAAUAAUACAGUCGUGAAUACAAUCUUAAAAGAAUGGCCAAAAUGUUACUCAGAGUACAAAUCAUAGACAAAAAAAAGACUCUCUUUUACAAUAUUCUGUCUUAUGGUACAGAAUUUUGGGGUUGUUUUGGGUGGGUACCAGGAAUUGAACUCAGGACCCUGUGCUUGCCAGGCAGGCACUGCACUGCUAAGCUCUGUCUCUAAUCUGUGCUCCCUGCCUCCCUCCCCCGUUUUUUUGUCUUUUUGAGACAGGGUUUCAGUAUGAACAGGCUGGCCUUGAAGUCACUUCGUAGCCCAGGUGGGCCUUGAACUCACAGCGAUCCUCCUGCCUCGGCCUCCAAGUGCUAGAAUUACAGGUGCACCACCACACCCAGCAGAAUUUUUUGUUUUUAAAUAAUAGGUACAGUAUUUAAAUUUAUAUCUCCUUUUCAGAUUACCUUAGUUUAAUGACUAACCAACUGAUAUUCAAAGGGAGAGAUUCAAUUAGAAUCCUUUUUUUUGUUGUUAUCAGUACCAGGAAUCAAACUCAGGGCCUCAUGCUUGCUCAGAGGGUGCUGUGCUGCUCAGCUAUUGCCCUGGCCCGC
rnacentral:lncRNA from 1 species